GACGAACGCUGGCGGCGUGCUUAACACAUGCAAGUCGAACGGAAAGGCCCUGCUUUUGUGGGGUGCUCGAGUGGCGAACGGGUGAGUAACACGUGAGUAACCUGCCCUUGACUUUGGGAUAACUUCAGGAAACUGGGGCUAAUACCGGAUAGGAGCUCCUGCUGCAUGGUGGGGGUUGGAAAGUUUCGGCGGUUGGGGAUGGACUCGCGGCUUAUCAGCUUGUUGGUGGGGUAGUGGCUUACCAAGGCUUUGACGGGUAGCCGGCCUGAGAGGGUGACCGGCCACAUUGGGACUGAGAUACCGCCCAGACUCCUACGGGAGGCAGCAGUGGGGAAUAUUGCACAAUGGGCGGAAGCCUGAUGCAGCAACGCCGCGUGCGGGAUGACGGCCUUCGGGUUUUAAACCGCUUUCGCCUGUGACGAAGCGUGAGUGACGGUAAUGGGUAAAGAAGCACCGGCUAACUACGUG
rnacentral:rRNA from 1 species